UACGUAGGGGGCAAGCGUUGUUCGGAAUUAUUGGGCGUAAAGGGCGCGUAGGCGGCUUGGCAAGUGGAUGGUGAAAUCCCUCGGCUUAACCGAGGAACUGCCGUCCAAACUGCUUCGCUUGAGACCGGGAGAGGUGAGUGGAAUUCCCAGUGUAGCGGUGAAAUGCGUAGAUAUUGGGAGGAACACCAGUGGCGAAGGCGGCUCACUGGACCGGUACUGACGCUGAUGCGCGAAAGCGUGGGGAGCAAACGGG
rnacentral:rRNA from 1 species